GACGAACGCUGGCGGCGUGCUUAACACAUGCAAGUCGAACGGAAAGGCCCUGCUUUUGUGGGGUGCUCGAGUGGCGAACGGGUGAGUAACACGUGAGUAACCUGCCCUUGACUUUGGGAUAACUUCAGGAAACUGGGGCUAAUACCGGAUAGGAGCUCCUGCUGCAUGGUGGGGGUUGGAAAGUUUCGGCGGUUGGGGAUGGACUCGCGGCUUAUCAGCUUGUUGGUGGGGUAGUGGCUUACCAAGGCUUUGACGGGUAGCCGGCCUGAGAGGGUGACCGGCCACAUUGGGACUGAGAUACGGCCCAGACGCCUACGGGAGGCAGCAGUGGGGAAUAUUGCACAAUGGGCGGAAGCCUGAUGCCGCAACGCCGCGGGCGGGAUGACGGCCUUCGGGUUGUAACCCGCUUUCGCCUGUGACGAAGCGUGAGUGACGGUAAUGGGUAAAGAAGCACCGGCUAACUACGUG
rnacentral:rRNA from 1 species